CUGAUAUCUCUUCUUCAAUUGAAACUCAAAAGAGCCUCCAUUUACUUCUAUUGAAGACGAGACGACGUUAUAAGAUUGAUAAAAUUUCAGCUCGAGCUCAAUUUAUGAUUAGGUUUAGAUCAUUUUACAUGUCUCUACAUUUCCCUUCUUUCUCAACCUCGAAGAACCUCAGAAAGAAGAUCUGAAAACAAACAGAUGUGGAAAAAAUUGCUUGAAACAUGGUAUAGAUUAUAGUAGCUGCGGUGAUAGGAAUAGCAUCUGUUCUUUUUGACCGGCCUUUUUGGUGAUACUCUUUAGAAAUUGGAAAUGAGAUUUGGAUACGAAACAGUAGUUGUUCCGGUUAUGGCAUUUAGUGCUUUAGCAUUUGGUAGUGUGGGAGGACUGGGUGGUGGAAUUUAUGUUCGGAUGCUUAUUAUAGUUAUGGGAUUUGAUGCGAAGUCCUCCGUCCCGAUAUCUAAAUGUGAGAGUGUUGUACUUGGUUGCCAGAAUUUUGUUUUCAUGAACAUAUACAAGGACAUCAUUUUUGCUAUUUAAUUUUUAUGGUCUGGUAUGAUAAUGGUUACUGCUGCUUCAACUGUUUACUGCAAUCUUAAGAAAAGGCAUCCAAAAAUGGAAAUGACUGUAACCGACUACAAUUUGGCGGUGCUUAUACAACCGAUGCUCAUGUUAGGAACCAGUAUCUGUGUAGGUAUAGGUGGGAUCCUAGCGGAUUGGAUGGUCACAGCUUUUUAGUGAAAUCCUUCUCAUUGGGCAAAGUUGUGUUUUAUUUCUAUUUCGGAUGGAGAAAAAUGUUGGCUUGUAAAAGAAUAUGGCGAUUACUGGACUUGUCUCUACAAAUCGGAUGGAGUUGUUAAAGGAUAAGCUUUUUAAUGGUGGAAUGAAGAAGCUUGUAGACGAGGCCUUUUCUGCCUCAUGGAAAGGAAAGGAUAAAGUUUUUGUGAAUGGAGAUUGGAAUGGAGUAUGUGAUGAUUUAUCAUAUAUGUGACAAAUCUCAAACACAGUCGUCGCAGUAAGGGAAUCCUACCACUGGCUGAAACAAAAGGUGUCGUUACUGGUUGGAACUGUUGGAUUAGAGAUGCACUUUGGGGACGUUAGAAAUAAGACCAAGAUAGGAUCAAUCGAUUCAAUCAACAACUUCAUUUUGUUCUAGGCACAACUCCGAUGUGGAUAGGGGGAAUGAAGGUCAAAGCUGAGAAAGAUGGGUUCUCGCCUCAUGCUUCAAUGCGUGCAACCUAAGAUGUUGCAACAGGGUGUUAGGUUAACUGCUAAACCGUUCUAUGCAAAUCCUGCCAUUAUUUAGCAAGAGAUUGGCGUGGUUGAUAUUUUUGUCAGUCGGUGCAGACUCGAGUGGCUAUCAUGAAUGUUGUAUUUUUUCGAAUAUUUGUCGAUGUGUACAUAGUUAUACACUGGUGUGAAUUAUUUUUUUUUUGAAUGUGAAAAUUAUAUAGUCAUAUGGGUACUCUUUUUGUAGACAUCGAAAAGAGCUUUCCGAAUAUAUAAAGUUUGUAAAUUUUGGACGA